rnacentral:tRNA from 4 species
GCGGGGGUUUUCCACGCCCGUGUCAAAGGAGCAAGGUUGAGGGCCCUGUCGCGCGGGCGUUCGCGGGUUCGAAUCCCGUCCCCCGCA